rnacentral:rRNA from 1 species
UACGUAGGGUGCGAGCGUUAAUCGGAAUUACUGGGCGUAAAGCGUGCGCAGGCGGUUCGUGAUGUCUGGUGUGAAAGCCCCGGGCUUAACCUGGGAAUUGCAUUGGAAACUAGCGGGCUGGAGUGUGGCAGAGGGGGGUGGAAUUCCACGUGUAGCAGUGAAAUGCGUAGAGAUGUGGAGGAACACCGAUGGCGAAGGCAGCCUCCUGGGCCAAUACUGACGCUCAUGCACGAAAGCGUGGGGAGCAAACAGG